rnacentral:tRNA from 2 species
GGCCCUGUGGUGCUAAUGGGAACAUACUUCGCUCGUAACGAAGUGAUCUCGGUUCGAUUCCGAGCAGGGCCUCCA